AGCAUUGGAGCUCCCAGGGCAGAGGCAAUUCGGCUUAUUCCUGGAUUAGAGUAUAACCUACUGGGGAUAUUUUUUAGAGUUACCCAAACUGGAAUAGUGGAAAUCUCUGGAAGAGAUAAUGAAGCUGCAGGACUCCAAGGAGCUACAAACAUCAAGCAGUCAUCCACAUGCCAUAAUCCCCUCUGAAGAAUCCAAGAACGUGUAGAUACAUCUGG
rnacentral:lncRNA from 1 species